AGCGAACGCUGGCGGCAGGCUUAACACAUGCAAGUCGAACGCCCCGCAAGGGGAGUGGCAGACGGGUGAGUAACACGUGGGAACGUACCCUUUGGUUCGGAAUAACUUGGGGAAACUCAAGCUAAUACCGGAUAAGCCCUUAUGGGGAAAGGUUUACUGCCGAAGGAUCGGCCCGCGUCUGAUUAGCUAGCUGGUGAGGUAAUGGCUCACCAAGGCGACGAUCAGUAGCUGGUCUGAGAGGAUGAUCAGCCACACUGGGACUGAGACACGGCCCAGACUCCUACGGGAGGCAGCAGUGGGGAAUAUUGGACAAUGGGGGCAACCCUGAUCCAGCCAUGCCGCGUGAGUGAUGAAGGCCUUAGGGUUGUAAAGCUCUUUUACCCGGGACGAUAAUGACUGUACCGGGAGAAUAAGCCCCGGCUAACUUCGUGCCAGCAGCCGCCGUAACAC
rnacentral:rRNA from 1 species